GACGAACGCUGGCGGCGUGCUUAACACAUGCAAGUCGAACGGAAAGGCCCUGCUUGCCGGGUGCUCGAGUGGCGAACGGGUGAGUAACACGUGGGUGAUCUGCUCCUUACUUUGGGAUAAGCCUGGGAAACUGGGUCUAAUACUGGAUAGGACCAUGCUGUAGGUGGUGUGGUGGAAAGAUUAGUUUCGGUAAGGGAUGAGCUCGCGGCCUAUCAGCUUGUUGGUGGGGUAAUGGCCUACCAAGGCGUCGACGGGUAGCCGGCCUGAGAGGGUGGACGGCCACAUUGGGACUGAGAUACGGCCCAGACUCCUACGGGAGGCAGCAGUGGGGAAUAUUGCACAAUGGGCGCAAGCCUGAUGCAGCGACGCCGCGUGGGGGAUGACGGCCUUCGGGUUGUAAACUCCUUUCAGCCAUGACGAAGCCCUUGUGGUGACGGUAGUGGUAGAAGAAGCACCGGCUAACUACGUG
rnacentral:rRNA from 1 species